rnacentral:piRNA from 2 species
UCGACUUCGGCUCGGGCGCGGUGCUCAAGG